UACGUAGGGGGGCAAGCGUUGUCCGGAAUCAUUGGGCGUAAAGCGCGUGUAGGCGGCCAGAUAAGUCCGCUGUGAAAUCUCGAGGCUCAACCUCGAGCUGUCGGUGGAAACUGUCUGGCUAGAGUCCGGAAGAGGAGAAUGGAAUUCCUGGUGUAGCGGUGAAAUGCGCAGAUAUCAGGAAGAACACCCGUGGCGAAGGCGGUUCUCUGGGACGGUACUGACGCUGAGACGCGAAAGCGUGGGGAGCGAACAGG
rnacentral:rRNA from 1 species